rnacentral:lncRNA from 1 species
CACAGCUCUGUCCCCAGAUUGCCUGGGUGCAAAUCCCAGUUCUCUCUCUUCCUAACGUGGGACCCGGGGCAAUCGCUCUCCACUGCUGUAAAAUGAGGAUAAAAACUUUGACGGUGAGGAUGCAGCAAGAAAAUGCCUUCCAUGAACCAGAGAGCAGGAUCUUGCCAGACACUAAAUCUACUGGUGCCUUGACCUAGGAUUUCCCAGCCUCCAGCACUGUGAG